rnacentral:rRNA from 1 species
UACAGAGGGGGCAAGCGUUGUUCGGAAUUACUGGGCGUAAAGGGCGCGUAGGCGGCCUUCUAAGUCGAACGUGAAAUCCCUGGGCUCAACCCAGGAACUGCGUCCGAUACUGGAUGGCUUGAAUCCGGGAGAGGGAUGCGGAAUUCCAGGUGUAGCGGUGAAAUGCGUAGAUAUCUGGAGGAACACCGGUGGCGAAGGCGGCAUCCUGGACCGGCAUUGACGCUGAGGAGCGAAAGCCAGGGGAGCAAACGGG